UCUGCAUGUAUAUCAAAUGUGUUUUACUAUAUAAUAUAAGAUGUUAUUACAUAAUUAUAACAAAUGUUUUUUUAUUUACAGGAUUUCAAGUCCCGUUGUGAAAGAAACUAAAGUCUUACAAAACCUUUAAGAAAUAUGGAGCUCGAUGCAAGAAAAGACAUCCAGGCAAUGGUUGAGCGUGUGAUUCCAGGCUUACAGUUGGGCGACAUUGUUGUAGAGCGUAAGAUUGCUUUGAGCUACGUCACUUCCUCGACUGAAGACAACAUGGAGUACUACAUCAAACUCCUCUGCUUCGAAGAUAAGGAUAAAAACUGCAUCCAUGUACGGAUUCAAACAGACAGAGAAGAUGUUCCGAAAUACCUGACCAAAACUGAACCCAUGAUGGUCCGGGACGAAGUAACACCAUUCGUCUGAUUGUAAAAGUUUUGAACAUAAUAAAAAUGUUAUGAACAUU